AAAAAAAAAAAAAAUCAAAAGAUCAUGAAGGGAGUGCUCUUGAAUUUAAGCAACAUAUGCAGAAGUGAUGCUGUAUACAAGGAAUGAAAUGGAUGCAGAAGAUACAAUGUCUUUCUCCAGUAUUUCCAUCAAACAGUUAAUAAAUCAAUUUACUCAAAAUUAUCCUCCCUAGAUGCAGCCCUAGUGAUUAAUUAUAAUUUCGCCCCU
rnacentral:misc_RNA from 1 species